rnacentral:rRNA from 1 species
AGGAUAAACGCUGGCGGCGUGCCUAACACAUGCAAGUCGAACGCGCUUUCGGGCUUCGGUGCGAGAGCGAGUGGCGGACGGGUGAGUAACACAUGGGUACCUACCUUGGAGUGAGGGAUACCGGCGAGAAAUCGCCGACAAUACCGCAUAGGCUUCUUCACAAGGGAAGCAAAGUGACGCGAGUCACGCUUUGAGAUGGGCCUGUGGCCGAUUAGCUAGUUGGGGGGGUAACGGCUUCCCAAGGCGACGAUCGGUAGCUGGUCUGAGAGGACGAUCAGCCACACUGGGAUUGAGAACGGCCCAGACUCCUACGGGGGGCAGCAGUGAGGAAUUUUCCGCAAUGGACGAAAGUCUGACGGAGCAACGCCGCGUGCAGGAGGAAGGUUUUCGGAUCGUAAACUGCUUUUCUCGGGGACGAGCAAGGACGGUACCCGAGGAAGAAGCCCCGGCUAACUACGCGCCAGCAGCCGC